AUUGAACGCUGGCGGCAGGCCUAACACAUGCAAGUCGAACGAGUGGCGGACGGGUGAGUAAUGUCUGGGAAACUGCCCGAUGGAGGGGGAUAACUACUGGAAACGGUAGCUAAUACCGCCUACCAUCGGAUUUGCCCAGAUGGGAUUAGCUAGUAGGUGGGGUAACGGCUCACCUAGGCGACGAUCCCUAGCUGGUCUGAGAGGAUGACCAGCCACGCGGGAACUGCAACACGGUCCAGACCCCUACGGGGGGAGGCAGUAGGGAAUAGUGCACAAUGAGCGCAGGCCUGAGGCAGCCAUGCGGCGGAGAUGAAGAAGGCCUUCGGGUGGAAAAGUACUUUCAGCGAGGAGGCGUGACUCGCAGAAGAAGCACCGGCUAACUCCGUGCCAGCAGCCGCGGUAAUUC
rnacentral:rRNA from 1 species